UGCCCGGAUAGCUCAGUUGGUAGAGCAGUGGAUUGAAGAUCCUCGUGUCACCAGUUCGAAUCUGGUUCUGGGCAA
rnacentral:tRNA from 1 species